GUGAGUAACACGUAUCCAACCUGCCGUCUACUCUUGGAUAGCCUUCUGAAAGGAAGAUUAAUACAAGAUGGCAUCAUGAGUCCGCAUGUUCACAUGAUUAAAGGUAUUCCGGUAGACGAUGGGGAUGCGUUCCAUUAGAUAGUAGGCGGGGUAACGGCCCACCUAGUCUUCGAUGGAUAGGGGUUCUGAGAGGAAGGUCCCCCACAUUGGAACUGAGACACGGUCCAAACUCCUACGGGAGGCAGCAGUGAGGAAUAUUGGUCAAUGGGCGAGAGCCUGAACCAGCCAAGUAGCGUGAAGGAUGACUGCCCUAUGGGUUGUAAACUUCUUUUAUAAAGGAAUAAAGUCGGGUAUGGAUACCCGUUUGCAUGUACUUUAUGAAUAAGGAUCGGCUAACUCCGUGCCAGCAGCCGCGGUAAUACGGAGGAUCCGAGCGUUAUCCGGAUUUAUUGGGUUUAAAGGGAGCGUAGAUGGAUGUUUAAGUCAGUUGUGAAAGUUUGCGGCUCAACCGUAAAAUUGCAGUUGAUACUGGAUAUCUUGAGUGCAGUUGAGGCAGGCGGAAUUCGUGGUGUAGCGGUGAAAUGCUUAGAUAUCACGAAGAACUCCGAUUGCGAAGGCAGCCUGCUAAGCUGCAACUG
rnacentral:rRNA from 1 species